UAGGGAAUCUUCGGCAAUGGGGGGAACCCUGACCGAGCAACGCCGCGUGAGUGAAGAAGGUUUUCGGAUCGUAAAGCUCUGUUGUUAAGGAAGAACGAGUGUGAGAAUGGAAAGUUCAUACUGUGACGGUACUUAACCAGAAAGGGACGGCUAACUACGUGCCAGCAGCCGCGGUAAUACGUAGGUCCCGAGCGUUGUCCGGAUUUAUUGGGCGUAAAGCGAGCGCAGGCGGUUAGAUAAGUCUGAAGUUAAAGGCAGUGGCUCAACCAUUGUAGGCUUUGGAAACUUUUUAACUUGAGUGCAGAAGGGGAGAGUGGAAUUCCAUGUGUAGCGGUGAAAUGCGUAGAUAUAUGGAGGAACACCGGUGGCGAAAGCGGCUCUCUGGUCUGUAACUGACGCUGAGGCUCGAAAGCGUGGGGAGCGAACAAG
rnacentral:rRNA from 1 species